CAGCGUUUCCGAUCAUUUCCCUACCAACUUCAAACCUACUUCCUUCAUUUGUGUCAUUUCCCCACCAAUUUGCUUCCUCUGUUUCCAUUCUUUCUUCUUCAUUUUGGUGUCUUCUUCAGUUCUACUUUUUUCUUUUGUUUUUGGUUGAGUUUUAGAGCUGUUGAGGGCUUCCAUCUUCAUUCUAUUUUUUGCGAUUUUGGUUUGGGUUCUUUUUCUUUGAUUGGUCUGAUUUUUUAUGGUUUUAUUUUUGGAACAGGCUACAAUAACAACGGCGACUUUGACAAAGAAGUUGUCGGAGAAGUUAAGAAGAAGAUAGAGGUUCUUCUAUUUUGAUUUUAUUAAAAUUGUGUUUAUGUUUUUUUUGUCUGAUUUUUUGUGGUUUUUUUGGAUGCUUCGUUGUUAUUUUUUCCUUAAAAGCCUGUUGCAGAUUAUUUUGGUAUCACAGGGAAUGAUCCCAAAGUAAUAAUUUCUCCUCUCUUUUUAUUUUAUUUUUGUGGUUGAGUCACGAAAUAUUUUCGAUUGUAUUCUCGAAAUUUCUUAGAUUUGGUUCUAUCUAAUUACCCUGGACCCCAUUGAUUGCAGAAAAAGAUUCAUAGGGGGUUUAGCGAGAGAAACAAUGAUUGAAAAAUAUUCAUGGGGGGUUUAGCGAGAGAAACAAUGAUUGGUGGAGAUUAAGCCGGCGAUACCGAGGGGGGCUGCUGCUGGAACUCAAUUGUUUUUGCGUUUUACUUUUUUUAAUUUUACGCUUCAUUAUUUUUUCUCCUAAACCCUAAAGUUCCAGAUGCAAAGAUGUUGUGCGUCUUUCUUAACUUAAUUGUUUUUGUUGUCACAAUAUGCCACAACAUAUAUAAAAAAUAUGUUCCACGUCAAUUCUCUGUAUUUGAUUAUAAAUACUUUGUUGUGCAGUGAUUGGUUUUGAAGUUUGAGAGGUCUGAGUGUAUAUGCUUUCUUCUCUACAUCACGGGUCUCCUCUUUUUGUUUGUUUUAUAAAUACUUCUAUGGAAUAUUGUGAACAGCAAGGAACACUCCAAUUAUGUAUAGUAGGAUGGUGGCAUAAUAGCAAAUGAAUUAGUUAAAUAUAUUAUAUAUUAUUUCUUACAUUGCAUGGUGAUAGCCUGGAUAUAUAUAUGACACCACAAAUCAAGGUUGCAACAUUUUACGGAAUCUGUAGAUAGAUUAAUGAAGUUUAUUUUCAUGAUUUUUUUACAAAACAAAAUUAGGUUGGCAAAUUCUUGUGUUAUGGCUGAAAUUUUAGUUAUUGCCUUUUGUUCUCUAUUGCACAGACUGAAAGGAUAUGAUUUGAACUAUUCCAAGUGAUGGUUUCUCUCAUUUUUAACCUCAAUCAUUUUUUUUAUCUGCCAGGUCAAUUAUGGGAACCUCAUGUAUGGGCUGAUGAAGGAGUAUAUCCAACAUAACUGAAAGGUCCUGUUUGAGCCCUUUUUGCCAAACGGUGCUGCUGACACUGGAGGAAAAACAUCUACCUUAUGACCCCAAGUUGGUGGAUUUGACCAACAAGUCAGAAUGAUGACCUUCUGCUCCAUUUUUUUUCCUUUUUCCCCCUUUUAGAGCUGCUAUCUUCGUAAAAUUGAAUCAGCUACAGACCACACGCCCGAUCCUCAUACUACUUUAUUUGUUUUCUUCCUUAUAUUUUGUUUUGUUGGUCUAGGUUCCUUAAAGUCAACCCUGAUGGUAAAGUUCCUGUCAUAAAGUUUGAAGAGAAGUGGGUUCCUGAUUCAGAUGUUAUUACUCAAACAUUGGAAGAGAAGUAUCCCAGCCCACCAUUGGUGACCCCACCUGAAAGGGCCACAGCGUAUGCAUUUGGAUAUGUGACCCUUUUCCAUUGGGACGUUCCCCAAGCCUUAGAGGAUGAGUAUGGUGGUUUUUUAAGCGCUCACAUUGUAGAUGAUUUUAGGAACUAUAUUGAACUUUGCUUCAAGGAAUUUGGCAAUGGGGUGAAACAUUGGAUUACUUUGAAUGAACCCAGGAGUGUGAGAAAGAAUGGCUAUGCAAAUGGCAGGUUUGCACCUGGUCGGUGUUCUAAUUGGCUAAAACUGAAUUGCACAGGCGGUGAUUCUGGAACUAAGCAACUUCUUGCUCAUGCUGCAACAGCCAAACUGUAUAAGACCAAGUAUCAGGUGAUGGAAGUAGCUUCCUGGACUAUGGCUUGAGUGAAGCUGAUCCUGAGGUUCGUGCAAUUAUUGACAAGGAAAAGGACCGGCAAUUUAAAAGUCUUGAGCUUAUUGCUUCUGAGAAUUUUACAUCUAGAGCAGUGAUGGAAGCAGUUGGUUCUUGCCUCACAAAAACAAGUACUCAAAAGGAUUGUCGGGUAAAAGGUACUAUGGUGGCAAUGAGUACAUUGAUGAGCUUGAAACCCUAUGUCAACAAAGGGCUUUGGCUAAAUUUCAUGUAGAUGGAAAUAAGUGGGGUGUUAACAUUCAAACUUUAUCUGGUUCCCCAGCUAAUUUUGCAGUAUUCACUGCAGUUCUUAAACCACAUGACUGAAUAAUGGAUUUGGACUUGCCUCACGGAGGACAUUUGUCUCAUGGAUUCAUGACACCUAAAAAACGUGUAUCGGCCACAUCAAUUUAUUUUGAAUCUAUGUCUUAUUGACUUGAUGAAUCAACAGGUGUUUUUUGUUUUCUCUUUAAAAUUAUUACAAAUAUAUUGGCUCCUUUGUGAGAAAAGUAUGUUUUGUACCCUCGCAUGAGAAAAGUAUGUUUUGUACUUAUGCAUUUUCUGGAAUUAUAAAUUGCUUAUGAUGGAUAUGGCUCAGAUAUAUAUUGUUAUUAUUCCAAGAAUCAAGCAGGUUAUCAGAUAUGAAGGAUGCAUCCAAAAAUAAGUGAUGAAAAAUGGUCUUCACCAUAUAGCACUAGGUUAUGUUGCUUCUAAAGUAAUGACCAAGUUGUAAGUGAUGUGCACUAGACAAUAAUAGAAAUGAAACGUGGCAGAUAUAGGACUUACAAGAUCAGCAGGAAAAUCCAUCCUGAGCUUCACCAUUUUGCGAGUGAGGCACUAGUGAUAUGGAUCGUUGGGAUCUUUUUGGCAGUUAAUACUCCAGAUAUCGUCACAAAUUCAAUUGCAUCGGUAUCCACCAAAGCAGAUGAGAAUAGUGUGUGUGCAACAGCUAAUGUGGCAUGACCACAAAGUUUAACUUGCAGAAGGUGGUUCAAGAUAAUGUUAGAUAAGUGAUUUAAUAUCAUGGACCUCAAAGAUCCAAUUUUAUCUAAUAAGUCAAGAUUUUUAAUGUUAGGUUCUAACUCUGUUGGGAAUUUUCAAUAAACCUUAUAAAAUACCAAAUGAGCACCAAAACACAUUACGCCAGAUUAUCAAGAGGUUUUAAAGAAUACCUGGAUCCAUAGAGCUUGAUUAACACGCAGCGGAAUCUGACAGUGGUCACGAACAAUUGAUUUAAUGACCUUCCUCAACCAAAUCGCCUUCUUCCUUAUGGGACUUUCGUUUUCUCUUCAGAUAGAGAGAAGAGAAACGGUUUGUUGAUUUGGUGUAUUGUAGACCAUAACCAUGUCUUAUGUUUUAAACCUAUUAGGGUUCUCAUUAUUCCCUAAUGGGCCAAACUGGUUUUCGCUCAUUAAGCCCAUAUCAAUUUUCUGGCAGUCUGAUGGGCUCACUUAAAUAAAUCACUUUAUAUUGAACUCA